rnacentral:rRNA from 1 species
UACAGAGGGUGCGAGCGUUAAUCGGAAUGACUGGGCGUAAAGGGUGCGUAGGCGGUUAGAUAAGAUGAAUGUGAAAUCCCUGGGCUUAACCUAGGAAUGGCAUUGAUGACUGUCUCGCUAGAGUAUUGUAGAGGGUAGUGGAAUUUCCGGUGUAGCGGUGAAAUGCGUAGAGAUCGGAAGGAACAUCAGUGGCGAAGGCGGCUACCUGGACAAAUACUGACGCUGAGGAACGAGAGCGUGGGGAGCAAACAGG